rnacentral:rRNA from 1 species
GACGUAGGGGGCAAGCGUUGUCCGGAAUUAUUGGGCGUAAAGAGCGUGUAGGCGGUCCGGUAAGUCAGCUGUGAAAGUCAAGGGCUCAACCCUUGAAUGCCGGUUGAUACUGUCGGGCUAGAGUCCGGAAGAGGCGAGUGGAAUUCCCGGUGUAGCGGUGAAAUGCGCAGAUAUCGGGAGGAACACCAAUGGCGAAGGCAGCUCGCUGGGACGGUACUGACGCUGAGACGCGAAAGCGUGGGGAGCAAACAGG